rnacentral:rRNA from 1 species
GAUGAACGCUAGCUACAGGCUUAACACAUGCAAGUCGAACGGGCACUUCGGUGUCAGUGGCAGACGGGUGAGUAACACGUGGGAACGUACCUUUUGGUUCGGAACAACUGAGGGAAACUUCAGCUAAUACCGGAUAAGCCCUUACGGGGAAAGAUUUAUCGCCGAAAGAUCGGCCCGCGUCUGAUUAGCUAGUUGGUAGGGUAAUGGCCUACCAAGGCGACGAUCAGUAGCUGGGCUGAGAGGAUGAUCAGCCACAUUGGGGCUGAGACACGGCCCAAACUCCUACGGGAGGCAGCAGUGGGGAAUAUUGGACAAUGGGGGCAACCCUGAUCCAGCCAUGGCGCGUGAGUGAUGAAGGCCCUAGGGUUGUAAAGCUCUUUUGUGCGGGAAGAUAAUGACGGUACCGCAAGAAUAAGCCCCGGCUAACUUCGUGCCAGCCGCCGCAGUAA